rnacentral:rRNA from 1 species
AUUCUUUUAGAGUUUUUAUCCUGUCUCAGGACGAACGCUGGCGGCGUGCAUAAUACAUGCAAGUCGAGCGGACAGAUGGGAGCUUGUUCCAUGAUGUUAGCGGCGGACGGGUGAGUAACACGUGGGUAACCUGCCUGUAAGACUGGGAUAACUCCGGGAAACCGGGGCUAAUACCGGAUGCUUGUUUGAACCGCAUGGUUCAAACAUAAAAGGUGGCUUCGGCUACCACUUACAGAUGGACCCGCGGCGCAUUAGCUAGUUGGUGAGGUAAUGGCUCACCAAGGCAACGAUGCGUAGCCGACCUGAGAGGGUGAUCGGCCACACUGGGACUGAGACACGGCCCAGACUCCUACGGGAGGCAGCAGUAGGGAAUCUUCCGCAAUGGACGAAAGUCUGACGGAGCAACGCCGCGUGAGUGAUGAAGGUUUUCGGAUCGUAAAGCUCUGUUGUUAGGGAAGAACAAGUACCGUUCGAAUAGGGCGGUACCUUGACGGUACCUAACCAGAAAGCCACGGCUAACUACGUGCCAGCAGCCGCGGUAAUACGUAGGUGGCAAGCGUUGUCCGGAAUUAUUGGGCGUAAAGGGCUCGCAGGCGGUUUCUUAAGUCUGAUGUGAAAGCCCCCGGCUCAACCGGGGAGGGUCAUUGGAAACUGGGGAACUUGAGUGCAGAAGAGGAGAGUGGAAUUCCACGUGUAGCGGUGAAAUGCGUAGAGAUGUGGAGGAACACCAGUGGCGAAGGCGACUUUCUGGUCUGUAACUGACGCUGAGGAGCGAAAGCGUGGGGAGCGAACAGGAUUAGAUACCCUGGUAGUCCACGCCGUAAACGAUGAGUGCUAAGUGUUAGGGGGUUUCCGCCCCUUAGUGCUGCAGCUAACGCAUUAAGCACUCCGCCUGGGAGACCCA